CUACGGGUGGCAGCAGUGAGGAAUAUUGCACAAUGGGGGGAACCCUGAUGCAGCAACGCCGCGUGGAGGAUGACGCAUUUCGGUGUGUAAACUCCUUUUAUAUGUCAAGAAAAUGACGGUAGCAUAUGAAUAAGCACCGGCUAACUCCGUGCCAGCAGCCGCGGUAAUACGGAGGGUGCAAGCGUUACUCGGAAUCACUGGGCGUAAAGGACGCGUAGGCGGGUUGGAAAGUCAGGUGUGAAAUCCUACAGCUUAACUGUAGAACUGCACUUGAAACUUCUAAUCUAGAGUAUGGGAGGGGGAGAUGGAAUUCGUGGUGUAGGGGUAAAAUCCGUAGAUAUCACUAGGAAUACCUAAAGCGAAGGCGAUCUCCUGGAACAUUACUGACGCUAAGGUGUGAAAGCGUGGGGAGCAAACAGGAUUAGAUACCCGUGUAGUC
rnacentral:rRNA from 1 species